GCCGGCUUGGCGCAAUUGGUAGCGCAUCCGACUUGUAAUCGGAAGGUUGCGGGUUCAAGUCCCGCAGCCGGCCCCA
rnacentral:tRNA from 3 species